CCCGCGGGUGCAGGCGGGAGUGUGUAUAGGUGGUCCUCAAGGGUAUUCUGGAGGCUUGCUCAACUUCGUUUGGCCUAGAUCACUUCCUUCCAGGGAAAGGAGACACCAGCCUCUCUCUGGCAGGCCUUUACCUGUUUUACCUGCUUCCUCUUUCCUGGUACCAGGAAUAAAAUAGGUACCAGAGAUGGGCCAUAAUUCGCCCUACCUGGUCUCAUGGAUGUUUAAGUUGUUUUCAGACUGGAGAGAUGGCCAGCAAUGCUGCAUUGAAGUUCUCUAGGCACACAUCUUUGUAAGUACAUGACCUGUAAUCUUGCUCAAAAAGGACUCAGAAUAUCAUGAUUAAGACUACAGACUCUGGGCUCGGCACGCGCUCGGCGCCCGGCGGCGGAGGCCCAGGGAGGCGGGCUGGGUCCCAGCGGCGGGGCCCGCGAGCCUCAGCGGGUCUGGGGGCGGCGGUGCUCCUCGUCUGAGGGGCUCCAGCCCGACAGCGGCGGUGGCGCCCGCGGCCCCUGAGCGAACGGAGGACCAGGCCGGAAGGCGGCAGCGCAGCUGCGCCCGGAGUAAAACAAAAGAAUGAAAGAAGUAGAUAAUCUCGAAAGUAUAAAAGAAGAAUGGGUUUGUGAAACAGGAUCUGACAACCAACCUCUUAGUGAUGAUCAACAAAGAAAUUGUGAAUAUUUUGUUGACAGCCUUUUUGAGGAAGCUGAGAAGGUUGGUGCCAAAUGCAUGUCUCCCACUGAACAGAAGAAACAAGUCGAUAUAAGUAUAAAAUUAUGGAAAAAUGGAUUCACAGUCAAUGAUAAUUUCAGAAGUUACUCUGAUGGUGCAAGUCAGCAGUUUCUGAACUCCAUCAAAAAAGGGGAAUUACCUUUGGAAUUACAGGGAAUUUUUGAUAAAGAGGAGGUGGAUGUUAAAGUUGAAGACAAAAAAAAUGAAGUAUGUAUGUCAACGAAGCCUGUGUUCCAGCCCUUCUCAGGACAGGGUCACAGACUAGGAAGUGCCACACCAAAAAUUGUUUCUAAAGCAAAGAGUACUGAAGUAGAGAAUAAAAAUAAUUUGUUGUUCAACUAAACAAUCUGGAACCCAUCACUAAUGUACAGAUCUGGUUAGCCAAUGGAAAAAGGAUUGUCCAGAAAUUUAACAUUUCUCAUAGGAUAAGCCACAUCAAAGACUUCAUUGAAAAAUACCAAGGAUCUCAAAGAAGUCCUCCCUUCUCCCUGGCCACAGCUCUUCCUUUCCUCAAAUUGCUAGAUGAAACACUCACAUUGGAAGAAGCAGAUUUACAGAAUGCUGUAGUCAUUCAGAGACUCCAAAAAACCGCUGAACCUUUUAGAGAACUUUCAUAACAUUGAUUUUUGAUACACUAAGUGGAAAGUUUGAAGAGAAAUGAUGGUUGUAAAUGAACAUGCAAACCAAAAUGAGGGAAAGGAAGUCAGAUUCGCUGGACUUUUAGUUUGGGCAUGAUUUAACUCCCUCCUGAUGAGAAGAUUUUUAAAUAAGUACAAGUUAGGAAAGUGAACUAUGACUGGAAACUAUAUUCAAUGCACUUUUUCCAAAAGACUACUCAGAAAGAAAAUUAUACUUAUUUUCAAAUACCAGUUAUUCAGCAAUAAGAUAUAUUAAAUCACUGUAUCAUAUAGAAUCUUAAUGUGGUAUAAAUUAGCAAAUGUAUUCACAGCAUCAUUCAUUCAAAUAUUCCCAACCAGCAGUUGUUUGUUUAGAUGUUAGCUGUCUCAGAUUUUUUAAGUAGCAAUAUAUUAAGAAAAUUAUACAUGACAGGUUAAAAAACAUCAAUGUAAUUAUUUUACAUCUGAGAUACAGUCAGAAAGCUAGAAGGAACUUCUUUCACCACAGCUAUGCCUGAACCUCCAAGUGUUCUCCAUUUUUAUUUUCUAAUGGCAAGAUAUAUUCAUAUUAUUUUGGCACAGUAUCUAAAAUGCAUUUUAAGGAUAAAAUUGUGCAGCUUAGUACAAUGUCAAUAUUAAUCUGCCUAUUCACAUUUUGACAUUACAAGAAGUGUAAUUUUUAAAAAUCUCUUUUCUGUCCAGGAACCCGAGUUCAUCCCUUAUUUUUUCUUUUGAAAAUUAAGGAUUUGUUUUUAGCUAAAAAAAAAAAAAAAAAAAAAAAGACUACAGACUCUGAAGCCAGAAGGCCUGGGUUUGAAUCUCAGCUCUGUCACUUACCAACUGCGUGACCUUGAGCAAUGUAUGGAACUUCUCUGGACUUCAGCUUCAUCUGUGGAGGAGAUAUCAUAACACCUUCCUACUGGAUCUGUGGUGCAGAAUUGAAUGGAUUAAUGAAUUAAAACACAGAAAGUGCUUGGCACGAGGCCUGAAAUACUGUUAAGUUCUCAAUACAUGUCGGUUAAGCGUCUGACUCUUGAUUUUGGCUCAGGCCAUAAUCUCAGGGUCAUGGGAUCCAGCCCCACG